rnacentral:rRNA from 1 species
UACGUAGGGCGCAAGCGUUGUCCGGAAUUAUUGGGCGUAAAGAGCUCGUAGGCGGCCAGUUGCGUCUGCUGUGAAAUCCCGGGGCUCAACCCCGGGCGUGCAGUGGAUACGGGCUGGCUAGAGGCAGGCAGGGGAGAACGGAAUUCCCGGUGUAGCGGUGAAAUGCGCAGAUAUCAGGAGGAACACCUGUGGUGUAGACAGCUUACUGGACCACUUCUGACGCUGAGACACGAAAGCGUGGGUAGCAAACAGG